rnacentral:misc_RNA from 1 species
GGCUUUACUCCAUCGGAAGAUGAAUUAUCGUUAUCUCAAAAUGAGAAGGAUGCUUUAGGAAAAGCAAGGAAGCAGGGUCAACAAGCCCUUGCUCUCACGAUCAAGGUUUGGAUGAAUCUAUGUUCUUGAAGGUGGUCGAUGCUACUAAUACAAAGCAAGCUUGAGAGAUUUUGAAAAAUUCCCUCCAUGGAGUUGACAAAGUGAAGAAGGUGCAACUCCAAACAUUAAGAGGUGAAUUUGAAGCUUUGCGAAUAAAGGAUGUUGAAUCCAUUUCAGAUUUUUGUACGAGGGUGAAGUCUAUAGUGAGCCAAUUGAAGAGAUUUGGUGAGAGGGUAGAAGAUGUUCAUGUGGUAGAGAAAAUUCUUUGAUCUUUGACAC